CUGCUUCGGGUCCCCCAGCUGAUUUCCUCCUCCUGCAGCCCCGUCCUGCUGGGCACACCAAGGAGCAUUCACGGCUUAAAGGGGGUUCCCGCGCUCUGUGGCCUCAUGACGUGACGGGAGGCAGGGCAUCCCUGGCCACCCUCCGACUGGUGUCCUCUGAGGUCUGCUGCCUUCUUCUGCCCUGGCCACCUUGCCUGGGCUGCGGCCUGGGGCUGGUGUGGCUGCUGCGCUCUCAGCCUGUGUGACCUCACGGCUUCUCCUGGUGGCGUGCUCCAUAAGUAUCCCCAGGACUGGGCACAGAGCCCCCAGAUGAUGGUGAACUAGGAAAUCAAACAAGAGGGUUCCAGAGAGUCGCUAAGAGACAAAGCAGAGAGGGAGGUUGCCCACUUUGGACAAAGAGGCCUGGAUUCACCAUUAUCGCCACAGAACUACCUGGACUGACAGUCCAGCUCCGCAGAGAUCCUCACCAUGCGCUGAGAGGAGGGGUGGGCUGGCAGCUCCGCCUGAGCCUGGCGCCCCUCCAUGGGAGUCCUGGGGCACACCAGCGUCCUGAGCCGCCCCUGCCUUAGCCUGUGCCACAAGGGCACCUCCUUUAUUUUAAGAAACAGGCUGGUGAAGACCAGGACCUGGACGGCUUGGCCAAGUGGGGCCUCCGGUGGUCCCCAACAAGCCAGGGCUGCAGCCUCCAUGCAGAGCCCGUGUGCAGAGCACGUCACAGCCUCUGUCAUCACGUUUGAUCUCGGCUGGCCAGAGUUGUCACAGACAUGAAGAGAACCACAUCAACUUACAUAGCCCAAGAGUCCACAGCACCCAUGUGGCAGAUGGCCCAGUGGCUGCCCCUCUCCCUCGACACGAUGCCAAGAGCGUCUUCUGGGUGCCAUGUGGAAGUGUACCUUGCUCUUCAGUAUCUGUUUCCUCUUCGACUCUCAAGCAUGCAGAGCCUGCGCCUGCUGCCAGGGUGCCCAGCCCUCCCGCAGCCCGAGGCAGCCUGACACCUAGUUCUGCCAAUGCGGUGGGUGUCGGGGUCGUGCAAGCGGCUUCCAUGCCUGCUUUCGACAGCUCCUUUGCUGGUCUUUACGUCUUCUCCUCCUGCUCUGCUGGCUCCAGGGCCACCUGGAAUGUUCAAGCAGAAGAUGGUGGAGUCGCAAGGCAGAGUGACAUUUGUCUCAAGCCACCACUUGGAGGAGAGCUGCUUGGUGAUUAGGGGACACACUUUGAACUAUGGAAGACCAAGAAUGAAAGGGAUCACAUUUCUUUCAAGAGGCAGAGAGAACUUCACCUAAGGGCUGGAUGGAAAUGGACCAUGGGGUCAACGCUGCACAAGCACAUCAACCAACAGAUGGCGGUGACAGCCCCUUGUUGGCUGUCACUCAAUCUAGGAACAAAGGGGCUUAAGGACACCUUAAAAUGACUGCCCUGCUCACUGCAUGGAGGAGUUUUCUGGGUGCCACGCUGCCUCGUCUCUGAUUUCCCACCAUUGAGCACACGUAUAAUUAAAAUAAUGUGGAGAAAUCAAUCCUCGUGGAUGCCGGGUUGUAAGGAGUGACAGAGUGGCGGAGUAGGAGGGUCCAGAGCCCCCUCUGCCCCACGCACAGUGUGGCGCCAGGUGAGCACCCCACCCACCCGAGGUCAGAUUCCCCACCCUCAAAAGGAGCCAGGUGGUUUGUGUCUCGGGCUCACGGCUCUGUGGGUGAGGCCCACCCGUGCGCCGGCCUGGAGAGCUUGGUGCGAGGGGUGGUUCAGGGCCACCCUGGGGGCCAUCGAGUGCUGUCACCCCCUCUCACUUUCCUGGUGUGCAUGCAGACCCCACCCCUCCCCAGGACGGAAGGCUCUCUCCUGCUCGGUCCCCGCAGCAGGACUGGCAGGCGCAGGAGCCUUGGCCUCUGAGUCAGGAGCUCCAGCUCCUCUUGCUGUGGCGCAUCCCUUAGCUUCAGGCGCUCACCCAGCAGGCCCUGGAGGGACCAGGAGGCACCAAGGAGGGAAGCCAUCUGGGAGCCACUCCACGCCGUCCUGCAGGGGUGACACGAGACCGCUUAGACGCAGACAUGCUCAUAGCACAUCCCGUUCCAAACACGGGUCCUCGCGGGAGCCGCAGCCUGAGGGCUGCUGAGGGGCGGCACCCUGCUCUGUGCAGACAGAGCCGAAUCCCACUCCCCACGGCAUUCCAGUGGCUGGCACAGCUCUAGCCUCUGCCGAAGCCUCUGAACCCUGCAGGAAGAGGAGUUUCAGAAGCAGGCCCUCCGAACACUUCCUUCCUUAAUGUGGGAUAUUCAAAAACUAUUAAAGCUGACUGUGCACAUCUACCUUUUAUUAAGCACUUAGUAUGUGCAAGACGUCAUGCUAAACAUAGCACACAUAUCAUUUGCCCAGUUUGCACACCCUGGAAGGCAGCACCCUUG